CCUACGGGUGGCAGCAGUAGGGAAUAUUGCUCAAUGGGGGAAACCCUGAAGCAGCAACGCCGCGUGGAGGAUGAAGGUUUUAGGAUUGUAAAAUCUUUUUUGUCGAGAAGAUUAUGACGGUAUCUAACCAGAAAGCCACGGCUCACUACGUGCCAGCAGCCGCGGUAAUACGUAGGUGGCAAGCGUUAUUCGGAUUGAUUGGGCGUUAAGGGAACGCAGGCGGUCUUUUAAGUCUGAUGGGAAAGCCGUCGGCUUAACCGCAGUAGUGCAUUUGAAACUGGGGGACUUGAGUGAAGAAGAGGUGAGCGGAAUGCGAGGUGUAGCGGUGAAAUGCGUAGAUAUAAGGAAGAACCCCAGUGGCGAAGGCAGCUCUCUGGUCUGUAACUGACGCUGAGGUUCGAAAGCGUGGGUAGCAAACAGGAUUAGAUACCCUAGUAGUC
rnacentral:rRNA from 1 species